UGGGGAAUAUUGCACAAUGGGCGCAAGCCUGAUGCAGCCAUGCCGCGUGUAUGAAGAAGGCCUUCGGGUUGUAAAGUACUUUCAGCGGGGAGGAAGGCGAUAAGGUUAAUAACCUUGUCGAUUGACGUUACCCGCAGAAGAAGCACCGGCUAACUCCGUGCCAGCAGCCGCGGUAAUACGGAGGGUGCAAGCGUUAAUCGGAAUUACUGGGCAUAAAGCGCACGCAGGCGGUCUGUCAAGUCGGAUGUGAAAUCCCCGGGCUCAACCUGGGAACUGCAUCCGAAACUGGCAGGCUAGAGUCUUGUAGAGGGGGGUAGAAUUCCAGGUGUAGCGGUGAAAUGCGUAGAGAUCUGGAGGAAUACCGGUGGCGAAGGCGGCCCCCUGGACAAAGACUGACGCUCAGGUGCGAAAGCGUGGGGAGCAAACA
rnacentral:rRNA from 1 species